GUUUCCUUCGGCUACACUCAUCUCUCUCUUGUUCGUGCCCGCAAGUCUCCUUUCAGCUGGAAAAUCAAAUAGGAUAGUGGCUGCGCCGGUGAUUUAAUUUCGCUGCAUUCUUCAUCUCUUCCCUACUUCCAGUUUCGCUGGUAAUAAAAGUAAGGAUAAAGAGUCGGCACGGGAGUGAAGGUGAUUGGGGGACAUUUUGCUCAAGACUUGAGAAGACACCACAUUAUUUUAUACACAUUAGGAGAUUACAUUGUAUUAGACAUUUUGGUUAUGUAAUGUAAUCCUUUAAUGUGUAACUUUUUAAAUUCUACAACUAUAUGGAUGUUGAAAUAAGUCUUGUAUUUUGUAAACACUUUCAUAUGCAUAUAUUGUAAAUUUCCAAGUAUAUAAAUUUAUCUUAA